rnacentral:rRNA from 1 species
GACGAACGCUGGCGGCGUGCUUAACACAUGCAAGUCGUACGGUAAGGCCCUUUCGGGGGUACACGAGUGGCGAACGGGUGAGUAACCCGUGCGUAACCUGCCCACAACUUUGCGAUAACGCUAGGAAACUGGUGCUAAUACUGGAUAUGUGCUCCUGCUGCCUGGUGGGGGUUGGAAAGCUCCGGCGGCUGUGGAUGGACUCGCGGCCUAUCCGCUUGUUGGUGGGGUAGUGGCCUACGAAGGCGGCGACGGGUAGCCGGCCGGAGAGGGUGACCGGGCACAGUGGGACUGAGAUACAGCCCAGACUCCUACGGGGAGGAGCAGUAGCGAAGAGUGCACAAUGAGCGCGAGCCUGAGGCUGCAACGCCGCGGGCGGGAUGACGGCCUUCGGGUUGUAAACCGAUUUCAGCAGGGACGAAGCUGUUAGUGACGGUACCUGCAGAAGAAGCACCGGCUAACUACGUG